UACGAAGGGUGCAAGCGUUACUCGGAAUCACUGGGCGUAAAGCGUGCGUAGGCGGUUUCUUAAGUCUGUCGUGAAAGCCCUGGGCUCAACCUGGGAAUGGCGAUGGAUACUGUCGGGCUAGAGUCCGGAAGAGGCGAGUGGAAUUCCUGGUGUAGCGGUGAAAUGCGCAGAUAUCAGGAGGAACACCGAUGGCGAAGGCAGCUCGCUGGGACGGUACUGACGCUGAGGCGCGAAAGCGUGGGGAGCAAACAGG
rnacentral:rRNA from 1 species